rnacentral:tRNA from 1 species
GGAGGAUUAGCUCAGUUGGUUAGAGCGCCUGCUUCACACGCAGGAGGUCGCCGGUUCGAGCCCGGCAUCGUCCACCA